rnacentral:rRNA from 1 species
GACGAACGCUGGCGGCGUGCUUAACACCUGCAAGUCGAACGGAGUGGCGAACGGUUGAGUAACACGUCGGUGAUCUGCCUUGCCCUCUGGGCUAAGCUUGGGAAACUGGGUCUACUACCGGCUAGUGCACGAUGAGCUCGCGGCCUAUCAGCUUGUUGGUGGGGUAAUGGCCUACCAAGGCGUCGACGGGUUGCCGGCCUGCGAGGGUGUACGGCCACAGUGGUACUGAGAGACGGCCCAGACUCCUACUGGUGGCAGCUGGGGGGAAUAUUGAACAAGGGGCGGAGGCCUGAUGCAGAGACGCCGCGUGGGGGAGGACGGCCUUCGGGUUGUAAACUCCUGUCGACAGGGACGCGGUACCUGUAUAAGAAGCACCGGCUAACUACGUGCCAGCAGCCGCGGUAAUUC